rnacentral:rRNA from 1 species
UACGUAGGGUGCAAGCGUUUAAUCGGAAUUACUGGGCGUAAAGCGUGCGCAGGCGGUUAUGUAAGACAGAUGUGAAAUGCCCGGGCUUAACCUGGGAACUGCAUUUGUGACUGCAUGGCUAGAGUUUGGCAGAGGGGGGUAGAAUUCCACGUGUAGCAGUGAAAUGCGUAGAUAUGUGGAGGAACACCGAUGGCGAAGGCAGCCCCCCUGGGUCAAGACUGACGCUCAUGCACGAAAGCGUGGGGAGCAAACAGG